ensembl:lncRNA
AUGCAUAAGAUUUUAAAAAAUGUUUUUUUCCUCAAAAAAUGCAGGCCUUUAGAAAAGAUUGUUUCAUGACAUCCACUCCGUGUUUUUUCUUGUAACUUGCAGGGACAUAUGUUUGCUGUAGCUACUGUUACUGCAAUGCAUCACUCUUUAAAUGUGUUGAAACAACUGUCAAAGUGGAUGGUUUGAUUGUUUUGAAAGAAUUACAGUUCCUACAGUAGAGUUAUACACUACUAAAUUACGCCAUAAAACCGUUCUGAUUGAAGAACCCAUCUGACCCAGCAGUGGAAAUUAAAAGUUGCUCGUAUACGGUAGGUGGCGGUAAAGAUCCAAAGUUGAGAGCGGCCGUUAAACACGAAGAAGAGGAAAACCCAAUCAGCGAGCGACUCUUCUCAGUUUGAACGCGAAGCGGUUUGCUACAAUGGCGAUCAGUUCCGUUCAUAUUUGACAUUUUUUAAUCAUACAGUUAUUACAUAAUCUCGAGAAGGGAUCUACAUGUCGAUAACGCGUUGUAGAGUAAAUAUCCAAGAUGAAUGCAAGAGGAAGAAAUGGACCGUUGUUUAUCAAGACGUACAGUAAAAGAAUGCGAAAGGUGGAGCCUUGGUUCUCCCCGGACCUGAAGAGAGCAGCUUUCUCUUUUUCAAGCACUCUUUCAUCAGAUCAGUCCAUAACAGAGACCGCACAACCCAAGAAACGGAGAAUAAGAGAGAGAGCCUCCCGUCCUGCUAAGAGCAAAGGCAUGACUGCCAUAAAGGAGAACGGGAGUGAUGAGGAAAACUAUGCACCGUCCUCGUUGUUCAGAAAGAAGACAAAUGCAAAACCAUCAAUAAGGACUACAGCUGUGAGGAAGACUCGAACGACAAAGAAGGCAAAAAUAAAUAAACCGAUUAUUUUCAGCAGCAGUGAAAAUGAGGAUGACUCCUGUACGAUGAAGAAUGAAAUCCGUCUGAAAACGUCUGCUGGUGAAGGUGCUGGUGCUGAGAAAGUGUUCGGCGCUCAGUGUUUGACCAGGUUUGUCACACAUCGCAGAAGACCACCGGCACCCAUCCAAACUAAGCCGAUCUCUGUUGAUGAUUCCUUAGAUGAUUUCCUUCCUUCGUUCUCCCAAAACAAGCGCGUUGCGAGCAGGAAGCCGUUCUACACGGACUCAAAUAAUCAUGCUGCUCUCAAGAACCGCAAACACUCACAGAACCGCGUGGCUCUGGCUGAGGUGUCUUUCAAUGAUAGCGAUGAGCAGCAGCUCCCGAGUAAACAUCCCCUGCUUUCGAGCACACCUUCCCUGGUCUGCAGACGGCUCCAAAACUUACCAGAGCCCUCCAUCAGUGAGAUCUCCUCCCUCAGCUUUGAUGAACUUCACCAGGCAUCCUCUGGAGAGAGAGUGACGGAGCAGAGGGAUGCAGUUGUGGAAGAGAGAGCUGGGGAUGGAGAGAAGGAUCAGAGGAGGAAAGAAGGAUGUGCGGAGGCCACGUCGAGCACAGGAUGCGUGUCACGACACUCACACCUAGAAUCUCUAGCAGACGAGCUAAAGAAGAGGUGUCGCACAGUGGAUGUAGCUGUGAUGCUCAAAAAAAUAGACGUCUCGGAUCAUCUGUUGAAGGUACAAAGCUGCGGCAGGGAACGGGAUUGUUUGGAGUCCUCCGUGGCAGCAAGCAGUCAGAGCAGCCAAACCUAUAUAACUGUAUCAUCCAGCUGCUCCUCACUAUCCAAACCAUCACUCUAUCUCUCCUCUUCUAAGUCUCUUUCUGCUUCCCCUUCUGCUGGAGCUGGUUGCUCAAAGCAGUCCCUUAUCGGGCGUCUUAAGGCUGAAUGUCUGUUAUCUUCCCUCGCUGUCAGCAUUCCCCGUCUAGACCUGGCUGCGUAUCCUUCCGUCCACCAGGGGGCGACAGAAGCACCCGCCUCCGCAUACACCUGCCACAGGGACAGCGCAUCCUCUCCACCUCUUAAAGAGACGGGGAAUGUUAUCCCGACCAGCUCAAUAAAUCAUAAGACUCCCAGUAACGCUGGAGCAGUUGUUCAACACUUGUCUGCAUCAUUCCAACCUCGUCCGGUCUCUCCGUCUGCCAAUGCAGCUCAUAGCAAAACACGACCUCCUGCUGUGCCUAAAGAACGCGCGGGUUCUGGUACUGGCACCGGUCGCAAAGUUUGUGUGAGUGGACUUAAUGUCAGCCGCUGGUCAAAGAGGGGCGCUGGAGAAUUCAAUGAGAAGCGGAGGAAAAAGGAAGGACGGACAAAGGCAGUGUCAGGAGACUAUAGUUCCUGGGGCAGCAUGUCGUCUGCUGGAGCAGACACCUGUGCAGGGGAAUCAACAUGUGGCUGGCUGCAGGGCACCAGUGUGAUCGGUCUGGCUGUAACACCUCUCAAAAUGGAGCAAAUGAAUCUGUCUUCCAUUCUGACCAACUUUACUCCCGACACACUCACGACACACUCCUGGGGCCGACUGAAGGCAGCACUGUCCCUGCAUAAGAAGAAGACUGGUAUGUGUUUGCAGCAGGCCAGAUAAAGCCAGCAGUCUUUGAUUCACACACCAAACUACUCAUAGUUUACAUAUCUAAGGGGCAUUUGACAUGUUACAUGACGGGCGGCAAGCUUUCAGUGCCACCUUUGUUUUGAUACCUCUCUCCUUCUGACAACUUAAAAGCGUGUAAAAUGGCCUUAAAUGCUCGUCACUUUUCCUAAAAGCACUUGUUAUGUAUAAAUAGCUGAGCGUGUGUGUGUGUGUGUGUGUGUUCCACAGCAUUUGCCACCCCUCGCCGCUUGGUUCAGUCUCAUCUGAAGUCCCCAGGUGCUGUAUUUCCAAAUGACAACAGUCUGAACCUGUUUGCUUCCCCUCUCUGCACACCGUCCAGAUUCAUACCUUCAUGCUUGCUUCGGUCCACCAUGAACACCCCGAUGGUAAGGACACAGAGAGUUUUACAUGUUCACUUCUCAACACUCAUGAACAGGUUUUUUUUUGGUAAAGGUCUGUUUAAACUCAAGUGACUGUAUUCCCACACUACCAUUCAAAAGUUUGGGAUCAGUAAGGUUUUUAAUGUUUUUUUUUUUUUCUCUUAUGCUCAUCAAGUUUGCAUAUAUUUGAUAAAAAGAUACAGAAAAAAAGAGUAAUAUUGUGAAAUAUUAUUACAAUUUAAAAUAUCGUCU